rnacentral:rRNA from 1 species
UUCGUUCCCUUUUUUUGGGGGUGGGGUUAGUGGCGAACGGGUGAGUAACACGUGAGUAACCUGCCCCUCACUUCUGGAUAACCGCUUGAAAGGGUGGCUAAUACGGGGUGUUCUGGCCUGCUCGCAGUGGGUGGGUUUGGAAAGAUUCGACCGGUUUUGGUUGUUUUGGUGGGGGAUGGGCUCGCGGCCUAUCAGCUUGUUGGUGGGGUGAUGGCCUGCCAAGGCUUUGACGGGUAGCCGGCCUGAGAGGGUGGGCGGUCACACUGGGACUGAGACACGGCCCAGACUCCUACGGGAGGCAGCAGUGGGGAAUAUUGCACAAUGGGCGCAAGCCUGAUGCAGCGACGCCGCGUGAGGGAUGGAGGCCUUCGGGUUGUGAACCUCUUUCGCCAGUGAAGAAGGUCCUGCUCUUUGUGGUGGGGUUGACGGUAGCUGGGUUAAUGAAGCGCCGGCUAACUAC